UCCCACAAAUUCAUCUCCCUCCUCCAAGACUUUCCAUGCAAUUGGUUCCUUCCUUCAAGGAGAGGAUGAUACAGUUGAGGCUGCGGAGAUUUUUCAUGAAAAAGGGUGGAAGACCACACCAAGGAUGGUCCUGGGGACGGGCGAGGAGCAGCACCAGUGGGACAGAGCGCUGUGGAAGGACUUUCCUUGGAAAAGGAACGAGCAGCUCGUGCCUCGAGCCUCCCACCCCGAGCCCAAAGCACUCAAGGAGCUCGUUUGUCAACAGGCAGGAGCCUUUGAUUCCCCUCAUCCCUCCGGGAAGAUCAGACGGCAGGCGGUGUGUGGUGGGAGCAGCAUAUGCCACGGCAGAUGGCACCGACGCAAUUCCAGGGGAGUGAAAUCACUCAUCUGCUCUCCCCUGCCUUUGGACAGACCGGGAAUGCUGCGGGAGAGGAAAGGGAGAUGGAGCGACCAGGGAAAAUUAGCAUUCAAAAAUACAAUAUCUGCAGAGAGGGAACUGAGCAGCCUCUGCAAAAAGCCAUCAACUACGAAAGCUGGGGAAAAACCCUUUUCACUGCCCUCAUCCUUGUGGAUUCUUCCUGCCUUCUCCAGCAGAAUGGAAGAGACUCCUUGCAUGAUGUUAUCACCUGUCCUGCCAGAGAAUCCACAUCCUAAUCUCAUCAGACCUCUGCAUAAUACCCCCUGUG